GCCCCGAGCGGUCCCACCGCCCGGCAAAACACUGAGCAAGCCGCUGCUCUCACCUUGCUUGACACACUUGAGCCGGAGGGGGUCCUUGCAGUGUUUGAUCACGGCCAGCACGUCCCUGAUGGUGAGCCCCGCCACGGGGGUCUCGUUCACCUCCAGCAGCAGCUCCUCCGACACCAAUUUGCUGCCGCUCUCAUAGGCCACCUUGCCGGGCUUCACCUCCCCCAGUAAUGUCUUACAAUAACAGAAUGCAGGAGAGCACAUAUCAAUGAAGAAAAGACAAAAUGUACUUAUCCAUGAAGCUGAGGUUAAGAAACCAGUGUCUUCAAGAGCCAGGGACAGCACUGGGUCUGUGCAGAGUUGAGAGAUGGUGAUGACAUGUGGUUUCCAGCAUUCUUGGCCCAGUCUGGGAUUCUACUCUUUUGUAGUGGUUUCCAGCAUUCCUCACCCAGUCCAGGGACACUGUGGGUGUGCCCAGCUUAAGUCCAGUAACUGGAAAUACAAGCCCAAGUUCUGGAGAGUUUGAGCUGCAGAGAUAUAUAUGGGAACACUUUGAAUCUUGACUCAUUGGCCAUAACCAGCAGAGUGGAAAAUACAAGAAGAGAAAAAAACAUUGAACUGCGAUUUUAUAACAUCCUUUACUAGGCAGAGAGAAGAGGAAACACCAGGAAAGAAAACUGUAUUACGAUGUGAAAACUUAAUGUUGAGAAAUUCAGGCAUCUUGGGGUUAGUGAGGAGAAGUUUUAGGGGCUUAGAUUCUUCUAAACACAUGUACAGAAAUGCAUAUUUCAUCUGAUAUCAAAUGGCAUUUAUAGUGCUAAUCUUUACCUCAAGACUUCACAUCUUUUGGUGAUUGCAUCUUUUAGGUUUAUAGCAGCUAAGUUUGCAUGAAAACACCAGGGCUGUUUCAUUUCAGUCAAGAAUUAAUGUUCAUUGAUUGUGCUUCUGCAUUUCAUGUAACUAUUGUAGAAUUUGUUUUAGUUUUAUGAGGGAAUAAUUGUUCCAACUUCUAUAUAACUCAGGAAUUUACUCUCAAACAACACUGUCAAUUAGUUACUUAUCUCUCUGGAAAUGAUCUGGGAACAUGGAGAGGAAAGGGAGGAAGGGGCAAAAUCUGACCACUUAAAUCUAAGCAUAUUAGAUCAUUUUAUGCUAGAAAGUCCUGAAUGAUGUGACUUUCGUUCUUGUAAAACACCUCUUUCCAUAGAUUCAUGGCCCAAACAGUAUAUAAAGAGUGGGGAAGGAACUGCAUUUGCAAAUAGUUCAAAUCAUUGCUCCAUCUUAACUACGCAGUUCACAAAGUGUGAAGAAAUGUGAUCAUCUCAAAAAAGAUAAUGGGGAAAAAAUAUGUUUUGUUCUGUGACUUUAAAGUCUUGCAAUAUUUUACAUAAAUGAUAAUGGGUGCUUUAAUAAGAACUCUUGAUACUUUUGUUAUUGUAUUCAAUAUAUGCAUAUAAUACAACAGGAUGAUAUUGUUUUGGAUUUGGAAAUGUAUUCUUUCUUAUGCAAUCUUAUGCAGUCAUACUGCUUGAAUAUCAUUACCUGAAUUUAUCUUUCUUUUUUUUGUUGUUGUUUUACACUCUACUUAUUUGGUGCCUGUCAGUCUUUUGUCGUCAGUUUAUAUUCUACUAAACUCAAAAAGACAAUCUCAUACCUUUUGUAAUUGUAGGCAUUCUUUACUAGAUUUUUAAAUACACUUCAAAAAUUCAAGUACUUUGAUUUCAUGCCAUCAAGUAGCUGAAUCUAUCCCCCCGUCUCUUUUUAAAUUUAAUGACAGAGCUCCUUGCUGCUCAAAUUUUAUGCCAGAUAAAAUAUUCACCUUCUCGGACUCCCUGGCACCAGGCAUGGCCAUGUAAUCCUACAGCACAGCUGAUGAAAGAGAAGACAUCUUGCUGCUAUUUGACAAGCAAGAAGAUAAAAGCUUUCCUAUAAAGAUGAUGGAGCAAAAAAAUAGAAGGGGCCUAGACUCCCUACCUUCACACUUCCUGCUAUAAAAGCAUUGCUAUUAUAAGGUUAAUCUGCAGAAACAGACUUCUAUGUCAUAUGCUUAAAUGCAUCAAAAUUCAUACAAUAUCCAUUAAAUUGGUAAAAGUAUCCAUUUUAAAGGAUUAAUCUGAGGGACCCACAGACACUUAACACAAUCAAAUCUCAGAAAAAAAAUCAGUUAUUUCAUUGUGAUUUUGAGGCUGAUCUUUUAUGAUCUUUUAGUUAUCAAACUGUUAAAUACAUUUUAACUUUCAAAUUUUAUGAAUAAAGGAGAUGAAUCCUGUUAUUUUCUCAGUGUGAGUGUGAUGAUGUGUGUCAUAUGUGCCUAUGUAUGCACACACAUGUACUCAAGGAGCCUGAAAGGGACCAUGACUUUCUGGGCACUCAAUGCUACUUAUCUCUAACUCCUCCUUCAAAUGUCCCCAUUCUAAGUCUACUUCCUUAGGGAAUAGGUACAAAUAUAUCCCAUUAAACAUGAUUUAAGGAUGUAUUUAUUUUAAACUUGUCAUCACUGGUGGUUGGAGUGUGUGUGUGUGUGUGUGUGUGUGUGUGAAUUCUGACUCAUUUAUUUUAUCUGAUGGUAAGAUACCCUAUUGAAGAGAUAUUUAUUUAUAGAGCCAAACAAUGAGCUUCUUUCUCACUCUUGGACUUCUGCUCUAGCUGUCAGCCACUCUGAAUAUAGAGAACAAUUAAUAGCCAGUGAUCUUUAAUUUGGGAGGGAGAGUAAUAUAACCAUUUCACAUAUUAGUAAUUUAAGCCCUAAAGUGACAUUUUUGUACAAAGUCAGUGCAGAUGCUGUCUGCCUUGAUAAUAAAAAUGGUCACUUUAAAUAUCACGUAAGCCACCCCAUCACAUCAUCUCAUUGAAAUGAAGGAAGAUGAAAAGUUACUGAGUCAAAACAAUACUUGAAGGAAAACAACUUCUCAAAGUCUGGAAGCUGUUUCCAUGGGAACUGGCUGGACUGAUAAAUAAUUGGAGGCCUUUGCAUAUAUUGUCCCUUAAAUGUGAGCAGCACUUGGGAGGAAGAAGGCUGAACAAGGCUGCAUUUUU
rnacentral:lncRNA from 10 species